rnacentral:misc_RNA from 1 species
GCAUACAGUUUAUAAAAUUAUAAUUCAAAUCCUUAAACAAUAAAAAAAUGAGGCAGAAUAAUUAUCAAAAUAGCAUGUAAGAAUAAACUUAAAAUUUUAUGCCCAGUGCAAUCUUUAUUGUCACCUAAGAAAAACAAAUGUUCUUUUCUAAAAGAAAAACCACAGACAUAACUAGAAUUUGGUGAAACAGGCCCUUGUUUAUUUAUCUAGACUAGAGGUGCAUAACUAAAUUGAAAUGUAUGAAAGAGAUCAGCAUAGCACGAUAUAAUAUUAACAACUUGAGUGGCCCAAUCAGAUGUUCAAAUAAAAUUCAAUAUUCAAGAACAAAAGUCACUAUUCAAGAACAUUUGCUAACACAAACAUAAAUCAUAAAAUCAUAUAGUUAUUAAACGAACGAAAACAAUACUCUCAAGCGAAUAGAACAGCCAUCUCAACCAAGCAAUAAAAUCAGAAUACAGCAUACAAUAAUUAUCUGCAAACAAGCAUGUAAUCCAAUAUAGCACCUGCAAUUCUCAGGUGUUUUUAGCAUGAAAAAAUGGGAUUAGUUGAGGGGAAAAGGUUAUUUCUUAUACAUGAAAAAGAAAUCGAAUAUGGACAAGAGAAAUCAUAGCUUAUUAGGCAAUAGAGAAACUCAAACAGAACCUGAAAAUUAAGGAAUUGAUGUAACCACGCAUGGAAAAAGCUCCAAAACAGAAGCAAAAUCAUACAUAUUAAAAUAAAAAAGAAAAAGAAAAGCCACAAACACAUAUGAAGACCACAAAAUCACCAAUUACAAGCAAAACCCAUAAAAUAUCACUAAAAUGUUUUCACUUCUUCUUCAUCGAUUGAGCAAAAACAAUUAUUCGACAACUACUAAAGAGAAAGAGCAAUAGAAAAUAAGUAAAUAAUUGCCAAUUACAAUAUGGACAUAGCUCAAACGCGAUUCUUAGGAGACGUGAGCACUGCUGCUCCAUUUGACUGCAGGGAAAGCAGUGGAAAAGGAAAAAAAAAAAUUUGGGAGACAGUUUCUCCGAUUUUCCUCGGUUUUCUUGCGAAGCAAACAGACCAGCAGCGUUUUGAC